rnacentral:ncRNA from 1 species
ACAAAGAAAAGGCAAAACAUGCGAAAACAUGUUACGCAAAACCACCGGUCUAAGGAUAAUUUAAUUUAUCUAUGACAGCGGAGUUACCGAG